CGGGGUGCCGCAUGGCACCCCGGCUAAAGCCCCGACGGGAGGGGAUGGCUCCGCGGCCCAUCAGGUAGACGGCGGGGUGACGGCCCACCGUGCCGACAACGGGUAGCCGGGUUGAGAGACCGACCGGCCAGAUUGGGACUGAGACACGGCCCAGACUCCUACGGGAGGCAGCAGUGGGGAAUCUUGCGCAAUGGGGGGAACCCUGACGCAGCGACGCCGCGUGCGGGACGGAGGCCUUCGGGUCGUAAACCGCUUUCAGCAGGGAAGAGUCAAGACUGUACCUGCAGAAGAAGCCCCGGCUAACUACGUGCCAGCAGCCGCGGUAAUACGUAGGGGGCGAGCGUUAUCCGGAUUCAUUGGGCGUAAAGCGCGCGUAGGCGGCCCGGCAGGCCGGGGGUCGAAGCGGGGGGCUCAACCCCCCGAAGCCCCCGGAACCUCCGCGGCUUGGGUCCGGUAGGGGAGGGUGGAACACCCGGUGUAGCGGUGGAAUGCGCAGAUAUCGGGUGGAACACCGGUGGCGAAGGCGGCCCUCUGGGCCGAGACCGACGCUGAGGCGCGAAAGCUGGGGGAGCGAACAGGAUUAGAUACCCUGGUAGUCCCAGCCGUAAACGAUGGACGCUAGGUGUGGGGGGACGAUCCCCCCGUGCCGCAGCCAACGCAUUAAGCGUCCCGCCUGGGGAGUACGGCCGCAAGGCUAAAACUCAAAGGAAUUGACGGGGGCCCGCACAAGCAGCGGAGCAUGUGGCUUAAUUCGAAGCAACGCGAAGAACCUUACCAGGGCUUGACAUAUGGGUGAAGCGGGGGAGACCCCGUGGCCGAGAGGAGCCCAUACAGGUGGUGCAU
rnacentral:rRNA from 1 species